UCUUUUUAUGUAAAUAAGUCGAUCGUAAGCGGUUUACAUAUCACGCGAUUUAUUGCACAAAUCUAUAAAGAUGUAAUCCAGCAGUUCAACUAAAUAAGUGCUCUAUUAUUCGAACACUCGUGGUUCCCUAAUUAAUUAGAAGUGGAGGUUCCACCAUAUAAUGUACCACGCUGUUAAUUCUCUCUGCACUUUAUUGUGUUGUUAAUUUAUUGCGUGACAUAGACAUGACAGACACCUAGCCUCUGCUAUUAUACUGUUCGUAAUAUAAAUUUAAAUAAUAUUAGAUGUUACAUAUAAAAAGAAACGACUUUAAUCUACAGUUGAUCUAUAUUAUCAUUUUAAUCUCUUUUAUUUCGCUGUGUUGCGAUAAUAAUAAAGAUAAUAACUCAAAGAGAUGCUGAAAAAGGAUAUAUUACCACUGUCGCGGUAAUUUUAGCGGGGAUCGGACAACAUAAUCGCCUUCCUCGGGCUCUGCGACACCCACAAUUAGUUUGAAAAAUGACCAACGUGCAAUCAAACGAUUUUGGCAUUAACGCAGAUGCUUUGACUUAUGCUCAUGCACAUAUUGGUCAUAUCGGAGUUGACAUUAAUUACAGGGCACUUCGUUACACAACAGGUCAUUGCGUGUGAUAUCGAUGGAUCGCUGUGAUUCGGCUUUAUAACUCGAAACACGCCCUGUCGUCACGUCCCGUGGGCCCGUUAAGAUCUUGUCAUGGCACAGCUAUACAACUACAGAUACCGCGGAUAGAAUUAGUGUACAUGCCCGGGUAAAAGGUGAAGGAGUGGAAGACCCAUCGUCCGCAGACCUUCUCUGUUUCUCGGCGUUUCUCUUUGUCUUUCUAAUGACGGAAUGCGGUUCCACCAAGGGCCCACCGGCAUACACUGCAUAACAGGUUAAUCAAUCCGACAUCGACGACACAUUGUCUGUUUUGUACGGUAUGCGCGCGCGCACGGGCAUCGUAUCUUCUUGGGAGAAGUUCAAGGUCAGAAUCUAGAAUCUUCCUUCGUGCUUAAAAAUAUUUUGUGUUCGAUACUUUCAAUAAGAAUGAAUGUGUUCUUAAUGAAUCGGGUUUGUGAUUAAACAAUUCAUGAAGCUGUGCACAAUUCAUGCGAAACUUGCAUUUGCUACAUACAAUAUACAUACAAUAUAACCUGUGUAUAUUAUACAUAUAUGCGUGUGUUAUUGUCUCAAUAUACAUAUGACCACUUGUCUACGUUAAGUAAAACGACAUGUUUUAAUAUAAUUUUGGCUUAUACAUAUUUAAAAGCAAUGAAGUUUGUAUAUGCUUUGAAUUUUCUGACUUUUAAUUGGGUUUCAAUGUUAAUUCGAUAGUCCGCAUAUUUUGUUCAUUCAUGAAAAUAUUCGUACAGCAGGAUGAUUAGAUUCAGGCAGACAUAAGCAAUAUUCAAGAAUAUUUUAAAUGUUUUUAAAAGGUACAUUUUCAUAUGGGAAUUCAUCAUUUUGUUGCCACUCUUUGAUCUUUUUACCGGUGACGUAACUUUUAACACAAGAAACUUUAUCGAAUAGUUCGCCGUCAUUUAUAUUCAUAAAAUAAAGGACAGAAUGAAAUUAUUUUUAAAAGUAAGGACAAUAUAAAAUGGUUUACAAAAUAAAGGACAAAAUAAUACACAAUAAAUUUAUUUACAAAAUAUAGAACAAAAUAGAAUUAUUCACAUAAUACAGAACAAAAUCAAACUGUUCACAAAAUAAAGGACAAAGUGUCUUCAGGAAAAAGAGUAAAGGAGUAAAUCUGAAGAACCCAGCAGUGUGUGUGUGUGUAUGUGUGAAAUAAAGAUCUGUCCUCUUAAAUAAAAGGUGUAUGGUCACUGUAAUUAUACAGGAUGCUGCAUAUUAUAAAUAUAUUUACAAAAUAUAAACAUACAGGGUGUGAUAUUUAUUUUAGGUUCUACAAUAUUUUGAUUAUUCUUUCCGACAUAUAAUAAAUUGUCUUACGAUAAAGUUAUAUGAUAUUAGACAACGCUAAUCGUGAUAUAUGAACUUUUGUAUCAACGCCAUUUUUCAAGUUUACGGUAAUAUCAUUAAGAUAUCGUUAAGGCGAGUAAAGCUGCUUCAGUAAUACUGCAACACAUUAAUUGUGAUAAUGUCAUCGAGUCUACUUGUUUCUAUUCGAACAUAUUGGAGGGAAUAUAUUUAUUUACAUAUCUGUGUGCACUUUGUAUGAUAUGUAUGUAUUUUAACCAUAAACAUAAGCUGGGUACAUGUAUUCUUUCAAAACAUUCCGUUUUCCACAUUUUCUUCAAAAUUCGUAUCUUCAUACGAUUUCACAAUCAUUUAUAUCUGUAUACGCGCGUAAAUUUAACAUGUAUUGUUAAAAUAUUUUUUCGAGAAAUAUAUGUAUUCAUAAUA